rnacentral:rRNA from 1 species
GUAGGGAAUAUUGGACAAUGGGGGGAACCCUGAUCCAGCCAUGCCGCGUGGAGGAAGACUGCCCUCUGGGUUGUAAACUCCUUUUAUAUGGGAAGAACCGUCCUCAUUAAUGAGUGACCUGACGGUACCAUAGGAAUAAGCACCGGCUAACUCCGUGCCAGCAGCCGCGGUAAUACGGAGGGUGCAAGCGUUAUCCGGAUUCACUGGGUUUAAAGGGUGCGUAGGCGGAUAAAUAAGUCAGUGGUGAAAUCAACGGGCUCAACCUGUUAACUGCCAUUGAUACUGUGUAUCUUGAAUAUGAGAGAGGUAGGCGGAAUGUUGCAUGUAGCGGUGAAAUGCUUAGAUAUGCUACGGAACACCGAUUGCGAAGGCAGCUUACUAUUUCGUAAUUGACGCUGAGGCACGAAAGCGUGGGUAGCGAACAGGAUUAGAUACCCCGGUAGUCC